rnacentral:rRNA from 1 species
UGAGGAAUAUUGGUCAAUGGGCGAGAGCCUGAACCAGCCAAGUAGCGUGCAGGACGACGGCCCUAUGGGUUGUAAACUGCUUUUAUAAGGGAAUAAAGUGAGUCUCGUGAGACUUUUUGCAUGUACCUUAUGAAUAAGGACCGGCUAAUUCCGUGCCAGCAGCCGCGGUAAUACGGAAGGUCCGGGCGUUAUCCGGAUUUAUUGGGUUUAAAGGGAGCGUAGGCCGGAGAUUAAGCGUGUUGUGAAAUGUAGACGCUCAACGUCUGCACUGCAGCGCGAACUGGUUUCCUUGAGUACGCACAAAGUGGGCGGAAUUCGUGGUGUAGCGGUGAAAUGCUUAGAUAUCACGAAGAACUCCGAUUGCGAAGGCAGCUCACUGGAGCGCAACUGACGCUGAAACUCGAAAGUGCGGGUAUCGAACAGGAUUAGAUACCCUGGUAGUCCGCACGGUAAACGAUGGAUGCCCGCUGUUGGCCUGAAUAGGUCAGCGGCCAAGCGAAAGCAUUAAGCAUCCCACCUGGGGAGUACGCCGGCAACGGUGAAACUCAAAGGAAUUGACGGGGGCCCGCACAAGCGGAGGAACAUGUGGUUUAAUUCGAUGAUACGCGAGGAACCUUACCCGGGCUUGAAUUGCAGAGGAAGGAUUUGGAGACAAUGACGCCCUUCGGGGCCUCUGUGAAGGUGCUGCAUGGUUGUCGUCAGCUCGUGCCGUGAGGUGUCGGCUUAAGUGCCAUAACGAGCGCAACCCCUCUCCUUAGUUGCCAUCAGGUCAUGCUGGGCACUCUGGGGACACUGCCACCGUAAGGUGUGAGGAAGGUGGGGAUGACGUCAAAUCAGCACGGCCCUUACGUCCGGGGCUACACACGUGUUACAAUGGCAGGUACAGAGAGACGGUCCCUUGCAAAAGGGAUCAAAUCCUCAAAGCCUGUCUCAGUUCGGACUGGGGUCUGCAACCCGACCCCACGAAGCUGGAUUCGCUAGUAAUCGCGCAUCAGCCAUGGCGCGGUGAAUACGUUCCC